rnacentral:tRNA from 1 species
GCCCUGGCGGUCCAGUGGUUAGGACUUGGCACUCUCACUGCUGUGGGCCUGGGUUCCAUCCCUGCUUGGGGA